rnacentral:rRNA from 1 species
AUGCACGCUGGCGGCGUGCCUAAUACAUGCAAGUCGAGCGAACAGACGAGGAGCUUGCUCCUCUGACGUUAGCGGCGGACGGGUGAGUAACACGUGGAUAACCUACCUAUAAGACUGGGAUAACUUCGGGAAACCGGAGCUAAUACCGGAUAAUAUAUUGAACCGCAUGGUUCAAUAGUGAAAGACGGUUUUGCUGUCACUUAUAGAUGGAUCCGCGCCGCAUUAGCUAGUUGGUAAGGUAACGGCUUACCAAGGCAACGAUGCGUAGCCGACCUGAGAGGGUGAUCGGCCACACUGGAACUGAGACACGGUCCAGACUCCUACGGGAGGCAGCAGUAGGGAAUCUUCCGCAAUGGGCGAAAGCUUGACGGAGCAACGCCGCGUGAGUGAUGAAGGUCUUCGGAUCGUAAAACUCUGUUAUUAGGGAAGAACAAAUGUGUAAGUAACUAUGCGCGUCUUGACGGUACCUAAUCAGAAAGCCACGGCUAACUACGUG